rnacentral:rRNA from 1 species
CCUAAGGUAGCGAAAUUCCUUGUCGGGUAAGUUCCGACCUGCACGAAUGGCGUAAUGAUGGCCAGGCUGUCUCCACCCGAGACUCAGUGAAAUUGAACUCGCUGUGAAGAUGCAGUGUACCCGCGGCAAGACGGAAAGACCCCGUGAACCUUUACUAUAGCUUGACACUGAACAUUGAGCCUUGAUGUGUAGGAUAGGUGGGAGGCUUUGAAGUGUGGACGCCAGUCUGCAUGGAGCCGACCUUGAAAUACCACCCUUUAAUGUUUGAUGUUCUAACGUUGGCCCCUGACCGGGGUUGCGGACAGUGUCUGGUGGGUAGUUUGACUGGGGCGGUCUCCUCCUAAAGAGUAACGGAGGAGCACGAAGGUUGGCUAAUCCUGGUCGGACAUCAGGAGGUUAGUGCAAUGGCAUAAGCCAGCUUGACUGCGAGCGUGACGGCGCGAGCAGGUGCGAAAGCAGGUCAUAGUGAUCCGGUGGUUCUGAAUGGAAGGGCCAUCGCUCAACGGAUAAAAGGUACUCCGGGGAUAACAGGCUGAUACCGCCCAAGAGUUCAUAUCGACGGCGGUGUUUGGCACCUCGAUGUCGGCUCAUCACAUCCUGGGGCUGAAGUAGGUCCCAAGGGUAUGGCUGUUCGCCAUUUAAAGUGGUACGCGAGCUGGGUUUAGAACGUCGUGAGACAGUUCGGUCCCUAUCUGCCGUGGGCGCUGGAGAACUGAGGGGGGCUGCUCCUAGUACGAGAGGACCGGAGUGGACGCAUCACUGGUGUUCGGGUUGUCAUGCCAAUGGCACUGCCCGGUAGCUAAAUGCGGAAGAGAUAAGUGCUGAAAGCAUCUAAGCACGAAACUUGCCCCGAGAUGAGUUCUCCCUGACUCCUUAAGAGUCCUGAAGGAACGUUGAAGACGACGACGUUGAUAGGCCGGGUGUGUAAGCGCAGCGAUGCGUUGAGCUAACCGGUACUAAUGAACCGUGAGGCUUAACCUU